rnacentral:rRNA from 1 species
UACGGAGGGGGCGAGCGUUAUUCGGAAUUAUUGGGCGUAAAGGGCGCGUAGGCGGCUUGACAAGUCAAAGGUGAAAUCCCUCGGCUCAACUGAGGAACUGCCUUUGAAACUGUCUGGCUUGAGGCCGGGAGGGGGUAGCGGAAUUCCCAGUGUAGCGGUGAAAUGCGUAGAUAUUGGGAGGAACACCAGUGGCGAAGGCGGCUACCUGGACCGGGUCUGACGCUGAUGCGCGAAAGCGUGGGUAGCAAACAGG